CAGAGCGGGCAGCCCCGAGGCACCGCCGCGUCGCUGCGCCGCCGGCGCCGGCGCUGCAGGCUCUCCUCGCUGAGGCCCAGCACCGCCGACAGGUGGCCGAUGUAGCGGAUGGCCAGGCGCAGCGUCUCGAUCUUGGCAGUGCGCCGGAGGGCCUGGCUUGUGCAAAAAAAGAAAAGCAUACAGAUUGCAAAGGAAGAGACUGAACCGUCUCCACUUGCAACAAGACUGUCUACGUAGGAAAUCUCAAGGAACCGAUACUGCCUGCCUGAUCGCUCAGGAGUUUGAGUUUAUACACCUUGUCAUGAUAGCUACUUCAUGCACAGAUGUCUGUUGUCCACCUAGACUGUGAAGUACCUGGUGUGUAGCAUGUCUUCAAGAGAAGCGGUAUGUAGGGUCUCUUCCAGUGUGAGGGGUCUAACAUUUUGCAUCCCCAAUGCCUUCUAGCCCUGUGACUGCCGGGUGAGCUGGUCUGUAGCAAAGAAGGCCAAGUGGUUUAGCAGCUUCUCCCUGGGCAUCUCUGCCCCCCACCGUCCCCCGCCCUCACCUCUUUUAUCUUCUCCUGCCCUCGGCUUCUUCCAGCACCUUCUACACCCCCUUCCUCUGCAAUCUGUCCCAGCGGCCCCAGAAUGCUUACGCCCAUGGUCACAUCCAGGAGAGGCAGUCCCAACCCCCCCCCCCCUGGGGAGAAGGGGAGCUGCCGUAGGACCCAUUCCCAAGGAGAGUCUGGUCCAGGAGAGCCCUCCCAGCUUGAAGCUGUCAGUAGGGUCUCCUUUUGGACCCUGCUCGAUGGAUGCCCUCCUGGGGCUCCAGAUCCAAGCUAAGAAGCUGGUAUUGCAGCCCAGUGGCUGGGCUCUUUUGAUCCCACCGGACCCAAGGGGACAAACAGUUGGGACUUGGUAGAGUAUGUUGUGCACUCAGGCGAGGGGCGGGGGUGAGGGGGUGGCGUGCAGAAUAAAGACCCGUCAAGCAGGAGGGAUGGGAUCUGAGAGGGCUCAGAGCCUCUGCUGCCAACCUUCUGAAUGUCAAAAAAAAAAAAAAAAAAAAAAAAAAAAUCCCUCCAAUCCC